UACGUAGGAGGCAAGCGUUGUCCGGAUUUAUUGGGCGUAAAGAGCUCGUAGGCGGCCUGUUACGUCUGCUGUGAAAUCCCGGGGCUUAACCCCGGGCGUGCAGUGGAUACGGGCAGGCUGGAGGCAGGCAGGGGAGAACGGAAUUCCCGGUGUAGCGGUGAAAUGCGCAGAUAUCGGGAGGAACACCGGUGGCGAAGGCGGUUCUCUGGGCCUGUACUGACGCUGAGGAGCGAAAGCGUGGGGAGCGAACAGG
rnacentral:rRNA from 1 species